rnacentral:rRNA from 1 species
UAUCUUAAUCCCCAUUCAAUAUUGAGUAAUUCUAUAUUUAUAUAGAAAGUUUUAUGUUAAAACUAGUAACAAGAAGAAGACUCUUCUCUUCAAUGUAAGUGUAAAUCAGAAAGGACAAACCGCUGAUAAUUAACGUUACUGAAGCAGAAAUAGAAACUUAUCUAGAAAAAUCUACUUUUACUAACGUUAACCUAACACAAGAACAUUUAAAGAAAGAUUAAAAGAAAAAGAAGGAACUCGGCAAACAUUAACCUCGCCUGUUUACCAAAAACAUCGCCUCUUGAUUUUCUAUAAGAGGUCCAGCCUGCCCAGUGACCAUGUUCAACGGCCGCGGNAUCCUAACCGUGCAAAGGUNGCGUAAUCACUUGUUCUUUAAAUGUGGACUAGUAUGAAUGGCAUCACGAAGGUUAUACUGUCUCCUUUUUCUAAUCAGUGAAACUAAUCUCCCCGUGAAGAAGCGGGGAUAAAAUUAUAAGACGAGAAGACCCUAUGGAGCUUUAAACAACGCAGCAGUUACCAAAGAAUUUUUAAUGUUUCUGUAACACUAAUUUUACAAGUAAAAUGACUGCAAGUUUUUGGUUGGGGUGACCACGGAGUAUAUCAUAACCUCCAUGUUGAAAGAAUUUUUCUAAGCCAAGAAUUACCAAUCUAAGCAUUAACAAAUUAACAUCCAUUGACCCAAUAAAUUUGAUCAACGAACCAAGUUACCCUAGGGAUAACAGCGCAAUCCACUUCAAGAGCCCCUAUCGACAAGUGGGUUUACGACCUCGAUGUUGGAUCAGGGUAUCCCAGUGGUGCAGCCGC